rnacentral:rRNA from 1 species
AUUGAACGCUGGCGGCAGGCCUAACACAUGCAAGUCGAGCGGAUGAAGGGAGCUUGCUCCUGGAUUCAGCGGCGGACGGGUGAGUAAUGCCUAGGAAUCUGCCUGGUAGUGGGGGAUAACGUCCGGAAACGGGCGCUAAUACCGCAUACGUCCUGAGGGAGAAAGUGGGGGAUCUUCGGACCUCACGCUAUCAGAUGAGCCUAGGUCGGAUUAGCUAGUUGGUGGGGUAAAGGCCUACCAAGGCGACGAUCCGUAACUGGUCUGAGAGGAUGAUCAGUCACACUGGAACUGAGACACGGUCCAGACUCCUACGGGAGGCAGCAGUGGGGAAUAUUGGACAGUGGGCGAAAGCCUGAUCCAGCCAUGCCGCGUGUGUGAAGAAGGUCUUCGGAUUGUAAAGCACUUUAAGUUGGGAGGAAGGGCAGUAAGUUAAUACCUUGCUGUUUUGACGGUACCAACAGAAUAAGCACCGGCUAACUUCGUG